ensembl:lncRNA
GUGAAUGGCUUCCGAUGUUUCACCGCGCGAUGCCUCCUCCUGGUGUAAACUCACCAUUCUUUAGGCUGGACCAGAUGCAGACGAGGGGCAUGCCUUUGCCGUGCUAGUGCCGCAGUCUGUGAUGACUCCAUCGGUGGUGUCUGGCUCUUCCGUGGGCAGCAGAUGGCUUGAAGGACCAGUGGCUGGAGGAUCUGCAAGCAAGUGAUGGCAGAUGGAAACACCAUCAAAGCGAGAGAUGGCAUGGCACUGCAGAGGACCCGAUACCAAAGCCCUGGUCCAAUCCUUUCUAACACGAUGACCAGCUCAAUCCAUCAUUGAGAUGAGUAGCUCAGCUAUUAAAAGUCAAAACACUAUUAACAAUGAAUCCAGUUCAUAGCAGUGAAAAUGUUUACAUUAGUUGUCAUAAACAGAUUGUUUUUGAUCCGUUCUGGCACGUACAAUAUUAGUCAUGAUUAUGGAAGUGCCAAAAUCAAAUCAAAUCAAAUUUUAUUUGUCACAUACACAUGGUUAGCAGAUGUUAAUGCAAGUGUAGCGAAAUGCUUGUGCUUCUAGUUCCGAGGUGAGUGCUAUCAGAACUAUGUAUGACCCUUGGAUUUGCUGCCAGGUUUAUAAUACACUGAUGUGG